AAACUUCUCCUCUUCGAAAAUGCCAUUUGCCAAAUCCAAACAUGAGCAUGUGAGUAAUGGUUGGAAAGGUCUUGAUGUAAGGAACAAUUGUUAUGUUGGGCAAAAAUCCAAUUGAAGUGUGGAAAUUAGUGAAUUUUGAGUUUAAUGUGUAAGGUGCAAAACAUGCUAAGGCAAGGUUUCUAAAUUUGGCCAAUGUUCAAGCCCCUCUGUUUUGAUGAUGCAAGCCUCAAAUGAAA
rnacentral:lncRNA from 1 species